rnacentral:rRNA from 1 species
CCUACGGGAGGCUGCAGUGGGGAAUAUUGGACAAUGGGGGGAACCCUGAUCCAGCCAUGCCGCGUGUGUGAAGAAGGUCUUAGGAUUGUAAAGCACUUUAAGUUGGGAGGAAGGGCAGUUAACUAAUAUUUGACUGUUUUGACGUUACCGAGGUAAUACGAAGGGUGCAAGCGUUAAUCGGAAUUACUGGGCGUAAAGCGCGCGUAGGUGGUUCGUUAAGUUAGGAGUGAAAGCCCCGGGCUCAACCUGGGAAUUGCUUCUAAAACUGGCGGGCUAGAGUAUGGUAGAGGGUGGUGGAAUUUCCUGUGUAGCGGUGAAAUGCGUAGAUAUAGGAAGGAACAUCAGUGGCGAAGGCGACCACCUGGACUGAUACUGACACUGAGGUGCGAAAGCGUGGGGAGCAAACAGGAUUAGAUACCCCGGUAGUC